rnacentral:precursor_RNA from 1 species
UCAGAAGAGGCUACUACUAGCUAUCUAGCUUCAUGUUUAACUCUUCUUGGUUUGUGUUUUUGUGUGCUUGUUGGAGUUGUUAGGAGGAAGAGAGGGGUGAGAGGUGAGGCUGACAGAAGAGAGUGAGCACACAUGGUGACUUUCUUGCAUGCUGAAUGGACUCAUGCUUGAAGCUACGUGUGCUCACUUCUCUCUCUGUCAGCCAUUUGAUCUCUCUUUCUCUCUUUCUCCCUCAUGUGUUAUACUGUUCUCUCAUAUCUAUCUUCUUUGAGGUAGUAAUAUACUUGAGCAAAUUAAGCUGCUUAAUUAUUUGUGUAUGAUGAUCAGCUGCUGAUCCGGCCUCAUUUCUUGCAUAUAUGACCACAACCACAUACAUGCUUGUUCAUUUUUUUUCACAAAGAAAGAGAACAGUUUAAUUUAAUUUCUUGGGGUUUUUGGAUCAGUUAAUUUGUCUUGAGAGGGGAAGAGAUCUCUAUGGGUUUUGGAGGUCUGACAGAAGAGAGUGAGCACACACGGUGCUUUCUUAGCAUGCAAGAGCCAUGCUGGGAGCUGUGCGUGCUCACUCUCUAUCUGUCAGCCGUUCACCAUGCCCAAUAUGAUUAAUCUCCUUCUCUCAGUUGACAGUAAUUUCUUUGCCAGAUCUCCUGUUAAAUUUUCUGCCUAGCUAGCUAUUAUGCACAUGCUUAUUAUGAUGAGCCUGCCAAUAUCAUCUCCACGGCAAAACACAAACUAGCUAUGAUUUGAUUCAUUAUAUUUCUUUUCGCUGUUUAAUUAAUUAUAUGCAG